rnacentral:rRNA from 1 species
UACAGAGGUCUCAAGCGUUGUUCGGAUUCAUUGGGCGUAAAGGGUGCGUAGGCGGCGUGGUAAGUCCGGAUGUGAAAUCUCGGAGCUUAACUCCGAAACUGCAUUCGAUACUGCCGUGCUUGAGGACUGGAGAGGAGACUGGAAUUUACGGUGUAGCGGUGAAAUGCGUAGAUAUCGUAAGGAAGACCAGUGGCGAAGGCGGGUCUCUGGACAGUUCCUGACGCUGAGGCACGAAGGCCAGGGGAGCAAACGGG